UACGGGUUGAAGCAUGACCGUAAGGACAUGUGGACAGUAUGGGAGUGAGAAUGUUGGCAUGAGUAGCGAGAUGUGGGUGAGAAUCCCACAGGCCGUAAACCCAAGGUUUCCAGGGGAAGGUUCGUCCACCCUGGGUUAGUCGGGACCUAAGCUGAGGCCGAAAGGCGUAGGUGAUGGACAACAGGUUGAUAUUCCUGUACUACCGAUAACC
rnacentral:rRNA from 1 species